UACAGAGGUCUCAAGCGUUGUUCGGAUUCAUUGGGCGUAAAGGGUGUGUAGGUGGCGCGCUAAGUCGGGUGUGAAAUUUCGGAGCUUAACUCCGAAACUGCAUUCGAUACUGGCGUGCUUGAGGACUGGAGAGGAGACUGGAAUUUACGGUGUAGCAGUGAAAUGCGUAGAUAUCGUAAGGAAGACCAGUGGCGAAGGCGGGUUUCUGGACAGUUCCUGACACUGAGACACGAAGGCCAGGGGAGCAAACGGG
rnacentral:rRNA from 1 species